rnacentral:rRNA from 1 species
UUUUAUGAGAGUUUGAUCCUGGCUCAGGACGAACGCUGGCGGCGUGCCUAAUACAUGCAAGUCGAACGCUUCUUUUUCCACCGGAGCUUGCUCCACCGGAAAAAGAGGAGUGGCGAACGGGUGAGUAACACGUGGGUAACCUGCCCAUCAGAAGGGGAUAACACUUGGAAACAGGUGCUAAUAC